rnacentral:rRNA from 1 species
CGCCUCUUGAAUAAAAUAAGAGGUCCAGCCUGCCCAGUGAAAUUAUUCAACGGCCGCGGUAUCCUAACCGUGCGAAGGUAGCGUAAUCACUUGUUCUUUAAAUGAGGACUAGUAUGAAUGGCACCACGAGGGUUCUACUGUCUCCUUUUUUAAAUCAGUGAAACUAAUCUCCCCGUGAAGAAGCGGGGAUUUUUUUAUAAGACGAGAAGACCCUAUGGAGCUUUAAACAAACAUCAUUUGCUGCAUAUAAUACUUUUACCUUCAUUUAAUAUAGCACUAUGACCUUUAGUUUUUGAUUGGGGUGAUCACGGAGUAAAAUGAAACCUCCACGCCGAAAGGGUUUAUUCCCUGAGCAAAAAGCCACAACUUUAAGCACUAAAAAAUUAACGUAAUUUGACCCAAUAUUUUGAUCAACGAACCAAGUUACCCUAGGGAUAACAGCGCAAUCCACUUCAAGAGCUCCUAUCGACAAGUGGGUUUACGACCUCGAUGUUGGAUCAGGGUAUCCUAGUGGUGCAGCCGCUACUAAUGGUUCGUUUGUUCAACGAUUAAAACCCU